GAAUCUCCGUUGGGGGCUUGCCCAGGGAUCUUUACCUUUUGGAAGACUUUGGUUUCCCAGCAGGUUGGUGCAGAUGGAAUCCCCACCAGCAAGCACAGGAACAGAAGGAGCAACCACAACCCACACACAAUGAAGUGGGAUCCAUAACUACUGACCUCCGAUUCUGGCGCCUCUUCACAGACAGGAGGAAGGCGCCUGCAAAGAAUCUUUUCUGCUCUAUUGUCUCCUCCUGAUGGCUGUGGUUACUGGUGAAAUCAGGAUAAUGUUGGAAACUAGACGGAACCUAUAGUGACCCUAAUCAAUCAGUCGAGCCUCGACCAAACUUGGCCAGCCCAAAUCAAUCUCAUCUUCUGCUCCAAGUCUACAGGAUCCUCCGUUGUCCCUGUAAGCAUUCCCACAAUAAUACUCGUCUUGAUUGUUGUAUCGUCUGUGAAAAUGACUACCACUGCACCAUGAGAUUCCUUCCUUUGAGCCUAACAAGAAGGUCUGGGCACGUGGGCCCACUUAUGCCUUGUCCCUGGAGAAUACGGGAUAUUUCUUCCUAUGCAUCUCCGAUAUUUUCUCCCUUCUCCCUACCUCCUGGAAGGGACAGUGCAGGGUAGCAGCACUCUCUCCAGAUGCUAGUCAGAAAAAAGCUUCCUUCCACUGCCUACAUACCAAACCUCGGCUCAUUCUUCUAUCAACUUAAAAGAGCCAAAAGGAAUUGUGACUUUGAGGGACUCCCCACAUAUAACCUUAUUGUAGAUGACACAGGAUUGGGGGAUGCCCUUGUUAGGGCAUUAUUCCCCACCUCUGGAGUUAGUGCCCUUGAAACGUCCAUCAGCAAUCUUUGUCUAAUGAUGGCUUCCAUCUUCAAUGUCACCCAACAAGCCAUCGAAUAUCACGAGGGUCAGAGAGUGUAGCAGAGGUUGUCCUUCAGAAUUGAAGGGCUCCUGACAUCCUAACUGCUCAAGAACAGGGUACCUGCACACUCCUGGGAGAGGAAUGUCGCUUCUAUGUAAAUGAGUCUAGUCACAUAAAACAAGAACUAAAGGUCAUAAAAGAUAAUAUAAAUCUCCUUAGUGAUAAAGGUCAUUCUACUGGCCUCCUGGACCACUUUCACCUGUUUGGAGUUGGGCUCGGAGCUAUUCUGAGAUCAGGGUUUGAAGCCUUACUAAUGAUUAUUGUUCUGGUUUGUUCAAUCUUUGCCACUGUUAAACUGCUAAAGAUUUGCAUUUCAUGAUGCUGCAUGUCUGUCUGUACUGCUACAGUGAUGAUUGCGUAGUGACUUGAGAUGAUCGACCAAUCUUGCAAUCCCAAACAAAGGACUUGAUACUUUUUCCAGAUAGAGACUAUGCCUAAGACUCUUUUCCUGACCACCUCCUUAUUGCUGAGAUGUGACGAAAGCCUCUGACGGCUACUGAUGACUGAGCAUCUCACUUCCCCCCCAUAUAGGACAUGAGUUCCUGGGAAUGCACCUUCCUGGUGACGAAGGAUAUAUACAUAUAUAUAUAUACACACACAUAUAUAUAUACACACAUAUAUAUACAUAUAUACAUAUAUAGACAUAUAUACAUAUAUAUACAUAUAUACAUAUACAUACAUACACAUAUACAUAUAUAUACAUAUACAUAUAUAUAUA